GGGAGGGCUGGGUAAUUUAUGAUAUCAUUGUUCCCACCCCACUUCCCAGCCCCCUGCUACUUUACUGUUGCUAGGAGACCCUGGCUGGCCCUGUCAUCUGGACUGCUCCUCCCCAGCCAGGGUAGGCCCUACCCCAGUCCCAUCUACAACCCUUUCUCAGGCCCUGCCACAUACCAGUCUCUCCCGUUGGUCCCUCCAGGUUCAUCCAGCUUGGGAGUAGAGACCAGGAGAAUAAGGGAAUGUGGAGGAAGCCAGGCAAUAACUUUGGGGGUGAGGAGCACACUGAGGGCCUGCAGGUGACCUGGGAACCAAACCUGGAGGAACCCAGGUUUAUAAAUGCAAUCUUUGUAGUCUUUGAGCAGCAGGAUGCAAAUAGACUUCUCAGCCCGAUUCCUCCAGCCAAGGUCAAGGCUAAGGCUAACAGUGGUGGGGGAAGAGAAACUGAGGAGAGAAGGUCAUCCAGACUACAGGCCAAAGAGAAGACCUGACCUGGCCCCAAGCUCCCCAAGGGCAAAGUGUGUUCCCAGAUUGAGAAGGGGCUGCCUCCAGCAAACAGAUGUGAACAGAGGCAGAGGGCACCACCCGGCAGCUUCUCCCCAAGCUAUGGAAUGCGGGCUUUGCUCACCUGGUCACUUCCAGCAAGUUGUCCCACCCGGCCCAUCUAUUUCUCCUGUUGCCUCUCGGCUGCAUCCCUAAAUCCUACCCCAUGUCCAAUAAAGAGUGUUGCAGACUGAACAGC
rnacentral:lncRNA from 1 species